CUAAGGGUUUGCGGUGGUGCGUUUUUCUUCCCACGCCCAAGAACCCUAGAUCCUAAACGCACGAGAAUUUUUUUCUUGAGAGAAUCCAAUUGUAGAAGCUUUACUGAAUCAUCGUCCAAGGUUCAACAUAUAUGAUUCAUAGAGGUAAUCCACAAUACUUCAAAGAUAAUGGCUAUGUAUUUAUGCAAAAGUAGCCCGUUAUUCCCCUACAAAUCCCAUUUUUCUUUCUCACUUUCUCUCCUUUAUUCCUCUUCCUCGACCGAAAAGAAAGUGAAAACUGAUCUUACAGUGUAUGAUUUCCUACUACACAAACACCAAUUUUCUCCUGAAACAGCUUCACAAGUUGCCUCUGUUUUAAACCGUAUAAAGAAUCCAGAAAAAUCUGAUUCAAUAUUAUCAUUCCUCAAGGAGAGUGGUUUUUCAAAGAGUCAAUUGGAGAAAGUCGUGAAAACUAAGCCUGGUUUGCUUGCUGCAAGUCUUGAGAAUACCAUCAUGCCUAAAUUCAAGAUUUUCCAAGAUUUGGGCUUUUCUGCCGAAGACGUUGCUGAGAUUAUCUCAAGCGAUCCGGCAAAUUUGCAUCGAAGUGCAGAUAGUAGGGUCAGACCGUCAUUAUCAGUUUUGAAGAGAUUAUUGGGAUCUAGUGCAGAGGUAACUAAGGUUUUAAAGAUUUCUGGGUGGUACUUGAAAAAAGAUUUGGAGAAGAUUAUGGUACCUAAUAUUGAAUUUUUAAAGAGUUGUGGUGUAGGCAUGGAGCAAAUAAUAAAGAAAAUGUAUAAUUUUCCAAGGUUUCUCAUGUGUAGUCCAGAAAAUAUGAAAAUUUUUGUUAAAAUGGUUGAUGAGAUGGGGACUUGUAGAAGUUCCAAAUUGUUUAUUCAUGCUGUUCGGGUUGUUGGUUCAAUGAGCAACGAGAAUUGGGAACUCAAGUUAAGGCAUUUUAGGAAUUUGGGGUUUUCGGAAGAUGAUAUUCUGAAAAUGUUUCAAAAGGCUCCUCAGGUAUUUUCUGUAUCACAGAGGAAGAUGAGUAAGGUAGUAGAGCUUUUACUUGCAACCGGGAAGUAUGAUCUUUCAUGUAUUGUUAACUGUCCAAUAUCAUUGACUUGCAGUGUUGAAAAGAAGAUUAAGCCCAGAAUGCAAGUUUUAGGAGUUUUGGAGAGUAAGAAUUUGAUUGGAAAGUGGCCUCGUCUUUCAACUAUUACUACAAUCCCAGAUAGCAAGUUUGUGAAGAAAUUUGUUCAGCCUUAUUUAAAUGAAGUCGGAGAAAUAUAUAUGGUGAAGUGGGAGGCUUGUGUACAUUGACGGCCAAAUUGUCAUUAAAUUUCUCUGGGGCAUCUGGAAAACGAUAAUUGAAUGGAAUGGAGUCAAAUUUAUUUUGAUGGUUGAUGGUGUGAAGUCUUAUGGAAUCUGGUUAAAAAUGAAUUGGAGUUGAUAGCUAAGUGGCAUACCAUGUUCUCAUGUGAUAGAAAGUUUUGCUUUCUUGGAAAAUGGAGGCCCAACUGAUGGACUAUACAAAAAGCAGCUGACAUUACAACAUAUUCAUAUAUCAUCUCUCCCAUGAGAAGCCCUGAGUUGUGCAGUAAUCCAGGCCAAGUUCCUCUAACACUACCCAUCCAAACCAAGGCUGAGGCUAGAAGAUCAAAGAGAGCUAGUAUAAAGGGACCGUUGAACAGCAAUAUCGCACGGUAAGCCACAUACAAGUAAUACAAGCAAGUGUAGAUUAAAAAGCAGCAGGUCACAACAAGAGAACCAGCACAUAUUCAGCUCAAAAUGCCUAAAUUAGUUUUGAGUUGUCCUUUGCGCUUUUUGACUUCCUACAUUGAUGGAUAUGGAUGCAGGUGUUGAUGCACUAAGUUAGAAUUUGUUUUGUCAAAAAACAUGUUAGGUAAUUGUAUUGAUAUGAAGUGCUUUAUGAUCACAUGUGAAGUAGCAUUUUUUAGAUAACUGUUUACUAAUGUUUACACAUUUCAAUAGAUAUGAAUCUU